rnacentral:tRNA from 8 species
GCUUCAGUAGCUCAGUUGGUUAGAGCACCUGACUGUUAAUCAGGGGGUCGUUGGUUCAAGCCCAUCCUGAAGCGCCC